AUAUCGUAACCCUACUCCAAAAUCCGACACCUAAUAACUGCACUUCAAAAUCCUACUCCUGACUGACAAUUACUAAAUUAAGAACCGGUGGGCCGUCUCUUUCGUAAUUCUACACCGUCCUCCCCAAUUCUACUAACGGACAUGUAGAAAGAAAAGCCCUAAUCUCUCAACAAUUUCAAAAACCUUCCAUCACCGAAAGCUUAGAUCAGUUAAAAUUAGUUAAGAUAGUUGGAGUUCGAAGUUUUGAUUUUUCAUUUCCUGCAUUUUCUCGGUAACCAAACAGACCCACUUCACAAUGUUGUCUGUUUUCCGACGCGAUGUGUAAAAACUGGCUUCUCACGUAAAGAGGUAACUGUUCUUCCAAGAGGAUUGGUCCUAUCUUUUCUGGUGGAAGGAAAUCGUCAACAAUGUCGAAUUCGAGGUCAACAACUGCAGGUAAGUCGUUCUUGUAUUUCUAGUGAUACAUUUUUUUGGGAAAAUCUAAUGGUAUUGUAAAGGAGAUCUUAAAGUGUCACGCAUACGUUCUCAAGACGCAAAUCGCCCUGUUCUGUUGUAAUUGCGAUGUUGAUGUCCUAUGGCUGUUGAAAUAAAGCAUUUCUUUUUAAAUAAAUAAAAUACAUCUUUUGAAUUUGAAGAACCUAACCUCCACGCAAUCGUGUAUUAAACUUUAUUCUUCUGCAAGUAGGAUGGCAGUGUCAAAACUACUUACUCUAUUGGUUAUUGUAUUUACAUUUCUCCUUUCUACUUGCUGAAUUUGAUUCUUCCUUUGAUAGACACAGGCAUAAUAAGUUUGGCAUUUUUAAACAUCUGUGUUUUGAUCUCUUCGUUGCGCUGUUUAAGUAGCUAUCCUGAUAAAAGCUGAGUUCUGAAAUAUCAGAGAUUGGCGCCGAAGCUUUUCUGGAAUUAGUAUUAAUUUUAAGGAAUACUGGUAGAUAGAACUUUGAGGGUUAUAAAACAUGUUUAAAGAACAUCACUGCAUGUUUCAUGCCAUACCACUGCUAGAUAGAGCUGUAAGGCUUAUGUAAAAACAUGGGUUUCAUGUGGCAGCACCACUUAGUGCAUAGAGUGGGCAUUCAACUGGAAUCUGGUUCUAUAAGUUGGUCCCAUUGUAAAUGGUGAGGCAACACAUCAUCAGUUACCUAAGGGUAUGUUUGGAUGAGGAACUUCCAAAUCUCUAGGGACUUGGGCCAAGUGAGGAAUGUUUGGAUGAGGGACUCCUAAAUUCCAAGGGAUUUAGGCAAAGUGAUGAAGAAAUGGAUCACAAAAAGUUAGAUAAGAGGGAUUAGAAAUUCUCCACAUGAGAAUUGAAAAAGCAUGUGAGAGGGAUUUGCAAAUGAUGGGUUGGAAUUUAGAAUGGAUUUGCAAAUCUCAUGUGGAGAAUUUCUAAUCCCUCCUAUCUAAAUUUUUGUGAUGCCUUUCUUCAUCACUUUGUGUAAAUCCCUUGGAAUUUAGAAGUCCCUCACCUAAACAGUAAAACAUUAGAUAGAUUAGAUAGGAGGAUUAUAAAUGCACUACAUGAUUAUCAAAAAGUUAUGCAAGAGGGAUUUAUAAAUGACUAGUUCCAAGUAGUCAUAUGCAAAUUCCUCCCACAUGCCUUUGUAAUGUACAUGUGGUGCAUUUCUAAACCCUCCAUCUAACAUUAUGUGAUCCAUUCUUUACUAACUUGGCCUCAAUCCAAACAUGGCCUAAAAGUGAUACUCCAGCUAAAGGUCUUUUCUUUUUUAGAUAGAUGCUUUGCCAUGCUAAUUUGAGGUACUACUGGACAUUAUAGGAGUUGGUUGGUUAGAGGCCUUUAUCUUUUUUCAGUAGACAGCUUGCGACUGUCCUUGUAUAUAUACUUUUAUCAUAUGAAUAAAACCCUUAUUUUUCUUACCUUAAAAGAAAAAGAUAAACCAUGUUUCAAGGUUUACGGGGGUUUUAAGUGAGUUAAGUGUUGAUUUUGAGACAUUACAACUUACAAGUUCUAAGCUUUUUCAUAUACAUUUUGAUUCGAGGUAAUCUUUUCUAUUGUAUGAGGACUUUCAUUAUCAAACGUAUCUUCCUUGGCCGAGGAUUUAGACUUUUCCUUGAAUAAAUUUGCCAUAGGUCUAUAUUUGCAUUGUUCUUCUAGUUUACUCUGAGUUUUUGUUUCUGCAGAUUGUUUCUUCAUUGCUUUUAAUUUUCUUGAAGAACAGUGAAUUGAAUAAAAAAUAUUGGUGAACAUCCAAUUUUAGAAAAUGUGCAUCCCACAUUUAUUUUCCAUCGGAGAUUGUGAAAAUAUGGCAUACAUUGGAUCAGCAUUUGAGUUACUUGUAGACUGGUAGUUGAUUUCAUCCAUUUGUUUGACUGACAUGAACCAUCGAACUGUUAGGGGAAAAGGCCAAUUUUAAAAAACAAUAACCAACCAUUCGACAAUGAUGAUUACAUUCAUUUCAGAUCAAAUUCUUUGCAUCUAUUUAUAGAGUUGUCGGGAUAGUGUGAGGGUUUUGCGUAACAUUUAGCCUGCUUGAAAUGAUUAGUCUGACUAUAUUAGAUUAUCUUGAGUUUAGGAAGACCUGGCUGAUUGAUCCCUCCAUUUGUUGGUAUUCAGUUAACGUAUUCUAGUUCGAUGAAACUUGAAAACCAAUCUCGAAUUAUUAAGUCCAUAUUUGGACUUUACCUUGACGAGAUAAGGGUUUGCAGAAAGAGAGGCAUAUUUUUUGGAUGGGAUUGAAUGCUAAUACUUUAGAAUGGUUGGUUGAUGGAGGCUUUGCGUAAAAUUCGAAACUUUAGUUUUAAAUGGAGAAAAAUGAUAACAAAUCCAACGUUGUUGUUUAAGAUUCCAAUUUGAUUUGAUUUUUAAGUUUAGUGACAAUGGUUUUACAUUGCAGGGAGUGACAACGAUAUGCAAUUUAGUGUAGCUUAUGUAAUUUCUGCCAAUCAUUUUUGCUCACCUAACGUCCUGUUUGUGCAUGCAUGAGUCUAAAAUUAUGUGGUAGUUCAAUUAAUAGGGGACAAUCGCGGUGGUAAGUCUAUGUUUUCAUUUGAAUUGCCUCAAUGAUAUAAAUAUAUGCUUGUGCUUUCAUUAAUGAUUGCAUAAAUUGUUCGGAGAUAGUGCAUAUUUCAAAAAAAUGUCCGUAGCAUUUAUUUCAAAUCUGUAUAAUCUAUUCAUUUUUCUUGGCACUAAUUGCUGGUAACAUUUUCACCUGACUUCCAAGACCACUAUUCCAUCUACUCUUCAAUAUCUAACUGCCUCUCAAGGUUGGAUAUGAAGUCGGCUUUAUGUGCAGAUAUUAUAAGCUUCCGGUUAAUUGCAAUAAUUGAGUGGUAGGUGGUCUUUUUUUACGUGUCAUGGGCCUGAGUUUGCCGCCAAGUGGAUUGCGUGUCGUGUUAGUUUGCUUGGUGAUUGGGAUUGAAUUACGAAAUCUCACUUGGAGUUGUGAUUGGCAAUCCAAAAAGGUCAUCUUGCACUCCUCGAAAUGCAGUUUCUACCUUAUGUUUCUGUAAGAGAGGAGUGCAGGAUGAAUCUUUGGAGUGCUAAUUAAUAACAUCUCCCUCAUUUUAUUACUCGUAGGAGAUGUUCGUUGAUGUUCUAAGCAGGUUCUUUCCGAUGAACGAAAGACUGGGGAGCCUAGGAAUUGUUAGAUUAGACCGUAGAAUUCCAUGUGAUGGUGAGAGGUAGGUAUUCAGAUGUAUUUAUUUGAGUUUUACUAUAUUGUAUUAACAUUUCCCGCGAUGGCUUAUAUCGGGUUUAAACCAAGUUGUGAUUGUUUAAUGAAAUUGAAGCCUGAUGUUUUUGAAUA